AUUGAACGCUGGCGGCAUGCCUUACACAUGCAAGUCGAACGGCAGCAUGAUCUAGCUUGCUAGAUUGAUGGCGAGUGGCGAACGGGUGAGUAAUACAUCGGAACGUGCCCUGUAGUGGGGGAUAACUAGUCGAAAGAUUAGCUAAUACCGCAUACGACCUGAGGGUGAAAGUGGGGGACCGCAAGGCCUCAUGCUCUAGGAGCGGCCGAUGUCUGAUUAGCUAGUUGGUGAGGUAAAGGCUCACCAAGGCGACGAUCAGUAGCUGGUCUGAGAGGACGAUCAGCCACACUGGGACUGAGAAACGGCCCAGACUCCUACGGGAGGCAGCAGUGGGGAAUUUUGGACAAUGGGCGAAAGCCUGAUCCAGCAAUGCCGCGUGUGUGAAGAAGGCCUUCGGGUUGUAAAGCACUUUUGUCCGGAAAGAAAUGGCUCUGGUUAAUACCUGGGGUCGAUGACGGUACCGGAAGAAUAAGGACCGGCUAACUACGUG
rnacentral:rRNA from 1 species